CCAUAGCCGCGAUUGAAGCAAUUGUUUGAGCUCAUUUUUAAGCUUUUUGGCGGCGCGGCUUUGCCGCGCCGCCAAAAAGCUUAAAAAUAGCAAGUGCGGAAAGCGCGAAACAGC
rnacentral:misc_RNA from 1 species